AUGUAUAGCAAUAGCUUAUUGCACCAACAAAUAGUUGAUGUAAUAUUGACUCUGUCAAAUAAAAUUCUAGGUAGAAUUAUGAUAAUGACAUUGUCUGCCUAUAUGUCUUGACCAAAUUACGUGCCAGCAGUCGCGGUAAUACGUAGAAGACUAGUGUUAUUCAUCUUUAAUAGGUUUAAAGGGUACCUAGACGGUAGAUCAAGCCUUCGCAGGGACUAAUUUACUAGAGUUACUUACGAGGGGGUAUUAAAGUACUGCAGGUGUAGGGAUGAAAUUCUGUCAUACCUCUUUUCGAAAGAAAAAUUAUGGCACAGGUAUAGGUGAAAGCAUCCCCUUAUGUGAUAACUGACGUUGAAGGACGAAGGCUUUGUGUCGCGAACAGGAUUAGAUACCCCAGUAGUCAAAGCAGAAAAUGAUGAAUGUCAUAGAUUAGAUAAAUAGUUUAUUCUAUAAAUGAAAAUGUAAGCAUUCCACCUCAAGAGUAAUUUGGCAACAUUGGAACUGAAAUCAUUAGACCGUUUCUGAAACCAGUAGUGAAGUAUGUUGUUUAAUUUGAUGAUCCGCAAAAAACCUUACCACAAUUUGAAUAUUUAUAUCUAUCUUCUUUUUUCGUAAAAAAAUAAAAAGGUAAUAUAUUUACAAGCGUUGCACGGCUGUCUUCAGUUAAUGUCGCGAGACUUUGGUUAGUUCCAUUAAAUUAACGUAAACCCUUACUUUAUUUUUAUAUAAAGUAGUUCCCCGCUAUAUUGGAUAUGAUAACAGGGACUAAGACAAGUCAUCAUGGCCUGAAUAUUGUGGGCUAUAGACGUGCCACAUAAACCUUACAAAAGGGUGUGAAAUUGUGAAA
rnacentral:rRNA from 1 species